CAGGCCUAACACAUGCAAGUCGAGCGAACUGAUUAGAAGCUUGCUUCUAUGACGUUAGCGGCGGACGGGUGAGUAACACGUGGGCAACCUGCCUGUAAGACUGGGAUAACUUCGGGAAACCGAAGCUAAUACCGGAUAGGAUCUUCUCCUUCAUGGGAGAUGAUUGAAAGAUGGUUUCGGCUAUCACUUACAGAUGGGCCCGCGGUGCAUUAGCUAGUUGGUGAGGUAACGGCUCACCAAGGCAACGAUGCAUAGCCGACCUGAGAGGGUGAUCGGCCACACUGGGACUGAGACACGGCCCAGACUCCUACGGGAGGCAGCAGUAGGGAAUCUUCCGCAAUGGACGAAAGUCUGACGGAGCAACGCCGCGUGAGUGAUGAAGGCUUUCGGGUCGUAAAACUCUGUUGUUAGGGAAGAACA
rnacentral:rRNA from 1 species